CCUACGGGUGGCAGCAGUGAGGAAUAUUGGUCAAUGGACGCAAGUCUGAACCAGCCAUGCCGCGUGCAGGAAGACGUCUCUAUGAGUUGUAAACUGCUUUUGUACGAGGGUAAACGCAGGUACGCGUAUCUGGCUGAAAGUAUCGUACGAAUAAGUAUCGGCUAACUCCUUGCCAGCAGCCGCGGUAAUAAGGAGGAUUCAAGCGUUAACCGGAUUUAUUGGGUUUAAAGGGUGCGUAGGCGGUCGGUUAAGUUAGAGGUGAAAGCCCGAGGCUCAACGUCGGCAUUGCCUCUGAUACUGUUCGGCUAGAGAUUAGUAGCGGUAUGCGGAAUGUAUGGUGUAGCGGUGAAAUGCUUAGAGAUCAUACAGAACACCGAUUGCGAAGGCAGCUUACCAGGCUACUUCUGACGUUGAGGCACGAAAGCGUGGGGAGCAAACAGGAUUAGAUACCCUAGUAGUC
rnacentral:rRNA from 1 species